AGCGAACGCUGGCGGCGUGCCUAAUACAUGCAAGUCGUGCGGCAGCGGGCCCUUCGGGAUGCCGGCGAGCGGCGGACGGCUGAGUAACGCGUGGGAACGUGCCCCAAAGUGAGGGAUAACUCCGGGAAACCGGAGCUAAUACCGCAUAUGGUCUUCGGAUUAAAGCUUCGGCGCUUUGGGAGCGGCCCGCGUCUGAUUAGAUUGUUGGUGAGGUAAUGGCUCACCAAGUCGACGAUCAGUAGCUGGUCUGAGAGGAUGAUCAGCCAGACUGGAACUGAGACACGGUCCAGACUCCUACGGGAGGCAGCAGUAAGGAAUCUUCCACAAUGGGGGCUACCCUGAUGGAGCAACGCCGCGUGAAGGAUGAAGGCCCUCGGGUCGUAAACUUCUUUUGUUAGCGAAGAAUAUGACGGUAACUAACGAAUAAGGGUCGGCUAACUACGUGCCAGCCGCCGCGGUAAGAC
rnacentral:rRNA from 1 species